UAUAGUUCUCGCGUGACCACUCCGCAUGCGACGUUCCCGGGACGACAACUUCACUACACUAACACGCAAACAAAUGGGAGGUCUUAUAACAGAUCGGACUCCUCCUCGCCUCCACUCCGGGCCUGUAGUCUCGUACGCUGGUGGUCGCUUUAGCCUCGUAACGGUCGCUCCGUGGACGUACGCCUUGGCUGGCCUAGAUUGGGAAUCGGUCACUCGCUGCCGAGAUGUCCCACGAUAGACGCUCAUCCUCGAUAGCGUUAACGCGAAGAUAGCACCAAAGGUCGAGAUUCCGGGCGGUAUGCUCUGAUUUUUCGAUAACUCGAUCGCGAACCCGUCGCGAGCCUCGAAAGUCGCGCGAAGUCUCUCUUCUCUCGCGUUGCUUCCGCUUUUUCUCCUCUCGGCGAGUCUCCCUCUCUCUUUCUUUCUAUCUAUCUCUCUCUCUCUAGCCUGUCUCGCCGGGAUCUCGUUGUUUCCGCGGCACUUGCUUUGUUGUCGAUCGUCGUCAGCUGUUGCGUGUCUGCUCCGCACCUCUCCUUCCCGCGUCCGGCAGCGUGCUGUAAACAAACAUCGCCAGCGGCAGCCGAAAUCGGAACGGUAACACGUUCUUAUGUAAAGAAAGUUAAAGUGCCGUUAUCCACGUACCAUUUAAACGGCGACUUUCCCUGAGGCCGAUGACGUUUCUUCCUUCUUCCUGUUCCCUCGGUGUCCUGUGGUCUCUUCUCUUCGUGGUCGGCGAGGUGAGUUGGGGCACAUUUUCUCAGGACGCGCUGACCAUCCCACUUGCGGGACCGUAUUCGCUUUGCCAAUUAACCCCCCUACGCUCGACCGAUAUGACCGUGGAAAGCUGUCGAUUCUAAUCGCGAAAAGAAUCCGGGGCCGUUAGGCAAAAACCCUCCCCUCCGGUAUGCACGAAAUUUCACGAACGGACUCAUUGCCCUUGUGACGGGCGCCAUCCGGCCGCCACGUCACAAUAUAUAUGUAUACAUAUAAUAAAAGCUUCGCAGCAAACCAUGUGCUUGCAGAACGUUUAUAGUCAGAGGACAAUCUCCUGCAGGAUAAAAUUGCCAAAGUGUGAGCCUUGAUGUACAUCAUUGAUGCAUCAUAGUUCUUUGCACCAGAAUCAAUUGUCACAUGUGGAAUAAAGUCUAUACAACAUGAAACAAGGAAUACAUAAAGAAGUAAAUGGAUAAUAAAGGAACAUAUAUCAGAUAAGUAACUUAUAUUUACACAAAAAGUGAUACUGAGUAUCUAUAUGCUGUGAAAAAUUGCACAUGUCGGGUUGAUUGUUGUUUUGUAAUGAAUUUUUUUAUUUUAGCCUCCCAGUUAACCAUGUGCUGGUCAAAAACACUUGAAAUUAUAUCUAACAUGGAAUAUAAGAGUAUAUCUGUUACCUGCAGUGCAGCGACAGAUUGAUGUAACAAACCAAGAGCAGAAAUGGAAAACGUUUCUCAAACAUCGAGGAUCAAUCCUGUAGCAUUACUUUAGCAAGAUGAAAAAUCAUAUAUUGGAAAUGGAAAAUGCAACAGCCAUGACAAAUCAAGGAAUAACAAAUAUAUAAAUAUAUAAACACUAAGAAAUAUCAAAAGAAGAAUAGGAGAUUGUUCUCUGACUAUAAACAUUUUGCAAGCACAUGGUUUGCUACGAAGCUGAAACAA